rnacentral:lncRNA from 1 species
UAUAUAUAUAUAUAGAUAUAUGCUUGUCUUUAAAACAAGCAAUUCUGCUCUCUUGAAACUUUCUUUGUUCUCUCCUAAAAUAAGCUCAUAUUGAGAUAAAGAAGAGCAGAACACCCACUGCAUCCAACCAUCCCAUGCAACUCUAAAAGAAAACAUCUCCACUUCAGUUAGUGGAAAACUUUGUGAAAAAUGCAUUGCAGGAAACCACACAGAUGACUGAUUGCUAUAAAUGGACCUCCUGUGACAUACAUGACAGACAGAACUGUACAAAUUCGAGACCAUAUGACUGGUUAGUUCACUACGCCCAAUUGAGUUAACAAGCCCGUUCAUAUAGCAACUUCAACCCAUCAGCCCAGUCUCAAAUUAAAGUUUCAAACCGUUCCUAGAACCAUAAAUAACAGCGACAAACGCUAUUAUACGACCCAAAAAUCCCUUCUUUAUAUUGCAGAACAUAUUAACUGAUUUACAAAUAGCAUUUUGAGGUCCAAACGUUUCCAAAAACUCCAAAUUUUAAGAAGAGAUAAAAAAGAAAUAGGCGAAAUCAUACCACAAGGGUGUCGUCGGUGUAAUCCCCCAUGAACUCCUUGAGCUUCUCGUUCACCCUAUCCCGGAGCUUCGACACGCCCUCAGUGGUGAAAUUGACCUUGAACGUCCGAUCAUCGCCGGCCCGAUCCCGCCCGUCCAUCUCCGGACGCGGAGAGGAGAUUCCCAAAACCCUAAAUCAGAACUUUCUUUUCGGGGGAGGGUGCGAAAUUUCCACCGAGAAACGAAACCCAAGAGAGAACCAGACGAGAAACCCUAAUCCGGAAUUUUUUCCUCUCUCGGAUCAGAAAGAAGAAGGCAUUUAAUCGCGCGUUUCCCCGGCGACAGUUUUCGUUUCCCCCCGGAAGACGAGAGCACAGCAACCAGCGCCGGCGUUCACGUUUCAUCGGAAGGAGGGUCAAGGGUUGAAUAUAUAGAGUAACUCUAUUAGACGAUUUUGCCCCUUUCCUUUCACGUAAUCACUCGGAUAGGAGGGGAACGUAGAUUUCCCUUUGGAGCCUUUCGAGAGCGACUAAAGAUCCGGAGAACACCAUGCGUCAUGCGUGCGAGCGGCGCCUCCGUGGCUGUGGAUAUUUCCUGGGCAGCCGCAGAAUUAUUUCUGUGCGGGCCGCCGGCCCUGUGAACGCUGCAAGUUCGGUUGCAG